UAAUUUUGAGCCCCCAAAUUUAUAUAAUUUUCGGUCACUACUCUGUACCCACUGUCUCCGACUCUCUCGACCUUGAGGCCUCAAAUUCACGCUAUUUCGCUCCUGUCGUGCAGAUGUACAAACUUCCAUUUUUGUGAGCUUGCUUGGUAAAGUUCUUUACCUGUCCCCCUCUUGUGUGUUGUUGUGAAGACGUCACAAUCAACCAAAAUGUGCCGGUAUCAGGUUUGGGACGACAACAUACCUGGAAGUGAAAUCUACGAGCAAAGCCUUGAAGAACAUAGAAAUGAGGCUACUGAUUUUCUUCACCAGCUGGAGGAGUGCAUGAAUGAGUUGAGAGAAAUGAUAGAUAGCAUUAAAGAAAUCAAUAAACGUUUAAAAAGGAUAAACUAUUUUUUAUGUGCAUUCUUGUUUGUCUUAUGUAUUUUAGAGGGGCUAAAAUAUUUUCUCUAUGUACGUUUAACAUGAAGAAGUGCUGAAGAUCGAGUUGAAAGAAAUUGCGUGAUGUCUGCUUGUACAGGUUUACUUACAUUGAGUGGACUAAACACCUUAUUACUGAAUGUUGUUUUUGUGUUUGGAUUUUGCUUUUCUUUCUGACUUUCAUAGUUAUAUCAAAUUUGUAAUAGUUGUUUGGUUUU